GACGAACGCUGGCGGCGUGCUUAACACAUGCAAGUCGAACGGUAAGGCCCUUCGGGGUACACGAGUGGCGAACGGGUGAGUAACACGUAGGUGAUCUGCCCUGCACUUCGGGAUAAGCCUGGGAAACUGGGUCUAAUACCGGAUAGGACUCCGGACUGCAUGGUCUGGGGUGGAACGCUUUUGCGGGGUGGGAUGGGCCCGCGGCCUAUCAGCUUGUUGGUGGGGUGAUGGCCUACCAAGGCGACGACGGGUAGUCGGCCUGAGAGGGUGACCGGCCACACUGGGACUGAGAUACGGCCCAGACUCCUACGGGAGGCAGCAGUGGGGAAUAUUGCACAAUGGGCGCAAGCCUGAUGCAGCGACGCCGCGUGAGGGAUGACGGCCUUCGGGUUGUAAACCUCUUUCAGCAUCGACGAAGCGAAUGUGACGGUAGGUGCAGAAGAAGGACCGGCCAACUACGUGCCAGCCGCCGCGGUAA
rnacentral:rRNA from 1 species